rnacentral:rRNA from 1 species
AUUGAACGCUGGCGGCAUGCCUUACACAUGCAAGUCGAACGGCAGCACGGGAGCAAUCCUGGUGGCGAGUGGCGAACGGGUGAGUAAUAUAUCGGAACGUGCCCAGUCGUGGGGGAUAACGUAGCGAAAGCUACGCUAAUACCGCAUACGAUCUAUGGAUGAAAGCGGGGGAUCGCAAGACCUCGCGCGAUUGGAGCGGCCGAUAUCAGAUUAGGUAGUUGGUGGGGUAAAAGCCCACCAAGCCGACGAUCUGUAGCUGGUCUGAGAGGACGACCAGCCACACUGGGACUGAGACACGGCCCAGACUCCUACGGGAGGCAGCAGUGGGGAAUUUUGGACAAUGGGCGUAAGCCUGAUCCAGCAAUGCCGCGUGCAGGAUGAAGGCCUUCGGGUUGUAAACUGCUUUUGUACGGAGCGAAAAGGCUCUCUCUAAUACAGGGGGCUCAUGACGGUACCGUAAGAAUGAGCACCGGCUAACUACGUGCCAGCAGCCGCAGUAAAAC